AGAGUUUGAUCAUGGCUCAGGAUGAACGCUGGGCGGCGUGCCUAAAUACAUGCAAGUUGAACCGCUUUGUGCUUAAUUGAAAUGACGAGCUUGCUCUGAUUGAUUUUUUUGAUUUCAAAGAGUGGCGAACGGGUGAGUAACACGUGGGUAACCUACCUCUUAGCAGGGGAUAACAUUUGGAAACAAGUGCUAAUACCGUAUAAUACCAACAACCGCAUGGUUGUUUGGUUGAAAGAUGGUUCUGCUAUCACUAAGAGAUGGACCCGCGGUGCAUUAGCUAGUUGGUAAGGUAAUGGCUUACCAAGGCAAUGAUGCAUAGCCGAGUUGAGAGACUGAUCGGCCACAAUGGGACUGAGACACGGCCCAUACUCCUACGGGAGGCAGCAGUAGGGAAUCUUCCACAAUGGGCGCAAGCCUGAUGGAGCAACGCCGCGUGUGUGAUGAAGGGUUUCGGCUCGUAAAACACUGUUAUAAGAGAAGAACGGCACUGAGAGUAACUGUUCAGUGUGUGACGGUAUCUUACCAGAAAGGAACGGCUAAAUACGUGCCAGCAGCCGCGGUAAUACGUAUGUUCCAAGCGUUAUCCGGAUUUAUUGGGCGUAAAGCGAGCGCAGACGGUUAUUUAAGUCUGAAGUGAAAGCCCUCAGCUCAACUGAGGAAUUGCUUUGGAAACUGGAUGACUUGAGUGCAGUAGAGGAAAGUGGAACUCCAUGUGUAGCGGUGAAAUGUGUAGAUAUAUGGAAGAACACCAGUGGCGAAGGCGGCUUUCUGGACUGUAACUGACGUUGAGGCUCGAAAGUGUGGGUAGCAAACAGGAUUAGAUACCCUGGUAGUCCACACCGUAAACGAUGAGUGCUAGAUGUUCGAGGGUUUCCGCCCUUGAGUGUCGCAGCUAACGCAUUA
rnacentral:rRNA from 1 species